AAUAUUGCACAAUGGGCGCAAGCCUGAUGCAGCAACGCCGCGUGCGCGACGAAGGCCUUCGGGUCGUAAAGCGCUUUUCGGGGAGAUGAGCACGGACAGUAUCCCCGGAAGAAGGAUCGGCUAACUACGUGCCAGCAGCCGCGGUAAUACGUAGGGUGCAAGCGUUGUUCGGAAUCAUUGGGCGUAAAGCGCGUGUAGGCGGUUUGUUAAGUCGAUUGUGAAAUCCCUGGGCUCAACCGAGGAAGUGCAGUCGAAACUAACAAGCUAGAAGAAGGUAGAGAAAGGUGGAAUUCCAAGUGUAGAGGUGAAAUUCGUAGAUAUUUGGAGGAAUACCGGUGGCGAAGGCGGCCUUUUGGGCCUUUCUUGACGCUGAGACGCGAAAGCGUGGGUAGCAAACAGG
rnacentral:rRNA from 1 species